GCCAGGCAUAGUGGUGCAUGCCUGUAAUCCCAGCGGCUUGGGAGGCUGAGGCAGGAGGAUCGCAAGUUUAAAGCCAGCUUCAG
rnacentral:sRNA from 1 species